rnacentral:lncRNA from 1 species
GGCCCAUUGAGACUCCAGACCCCUUUGUGAGACAAUGGCUGUAUGAUCCUUGCAUUCCCAGAGAACUGGAUGGCUCCUGCUGACCAACUUUCUGAGUCCAGUGGAUUCGUUCAAGGGAGCAGGAAGUUUAGGCUCAAAUCAACCAUCACUGUGAACUUUGAGUGAAAGAGGAGACGACAACAAGGAGAAUUUGCGGCUGUGGGAAGCCUCCUCUUAGAACGCUUACAAUUGAUGAAACCCCUGCUCUUGGCAGAGUGAAGAGAGGGCCUUCUUUGAGUGGAAAAACCUAUCCAUCAUGAUGGUUGGUUGGUCAGACAUGAUUCCCUAUUACUGUUUCAUGUUGCAGCUAAUCUUCUGUCUUCUGCUCCUCAUCACAUUAGUGUUACGCAUGGUCUUCCAAAUUUGGAAACAACAUUGAACAACUUAACUUCAGGAGAUGAAAGAUUUUCAAACUUAGUGGAUAUCUGCAACUUUCAGAAGAAGAGAACAAAGAAUGCACUCAAAGGGAAAAGGACAUGUACUUCAUUACCAUUGUCUUUUGGAACAUAAUAACUGACUGGUUUCAUUCACAGAACCAUGGAUCUCCAUGUCAUUUGGGAUACAAGCAGAAAACAUAAAGAUACAGCAAAUUUCCUGGUCUCUG